UUGAAAUCAUCCUGGUGAUUCAUCUAAACAGGUAAAGGUGUCAACAAAUUCAAGCUCUGAUAUACUGGUAAAUUAGCAAGUGGAACAAGCACUUUCGGACACGUAAUAAAGUAUGUCUACAAAUUGAAGAAUCUGCGCUGGGGUGCUGCCCUCUAUAAAUCUAAAAGGCCCAACUUGUGAGUUCUUUUCCAUAGAUUGGGUUCGCGUUUAGGUAUUCAGAUUUUGCUGGAAGAGGAACCAUUCGUACUCUCAUCGUGCUUGCGGAAACUGAAGCAAAAUUUGUAACAGGAUGACCUCAAUGGAGGAAUCGUGGACUAGUUGGCUCUGUGAUAUGGAGCCAGAUGAUUACAGUUUCAUCGGU